CUUUUUUUUUUUUUUUUUGUCUGUAAUGUUAGAUUCUCCACAGUCAGGGAAGUUACUAGGCAGUCAGUAGAAUUUUAACAUGGUGAAACUUUUUUCAGGACUUGAGUUAAUAUCAUACUUCUUUACCUGCUCCUGGUUUUAAUGUAUAAGGAUAAAACCCUAAGAAAUAGAAGGGUGAACAGAACCUUUCCUUUCUUAAAUACGUAGCUUGGUGGUUUUAUUUUAAGCUCAUGUAAAAGUUGAUUAAAUUACUGCUUUGCCUAUACACAAGCUUUUAGUGAAGACAGGUGAAAUGGGCUUUUAGGGUGCAGUCUGAAUAAAACUUUUAUUAGUGUAAUACUUGGACAGACUUAGCAUUUUGAAGUAUUAAGUAGAAGUCUCUUGAAAUUUGAUUAUGAGUUUUAAGGAUUUUAAAACGUCUAAACUUCUAAAAGUUCUAGUUCAGAGUUUUAUAUAUAAGUGCUUCACUAUUGUAAUGUAAUGGGUCCUGGUACCUCUACCAUAUACUGUAAUUGAGCCUUCAAAGUAGUCUUACAUAGGUGUGCUAGCAGUCCUACUUUAUAUAGAAAAACAAAAUGUAGAAUGGCAAAUGCUGAAUUAUGAGUUUUAUUUUGUCAUUUAUAUACUCUAUGAAGAUAUUAGUGUUGCAUUAUUUUCUGCAUGUGGUAAUUGAUAAGAUAGCUUUGGUAUAGGAAGUUUAGAUACAGUAAUUGGUUGUGUAUGAAGAGUCACCUCUAUUUAAAGAAAUGGGCAGGGUUACAAAAAUGCCAGCUGUAUCUGUUAAUUGCUUUUGGCAUUUAAAAUACUGAUGCAUUAUUGUUACAUGUUACGUUGGUAUUUUCCUGUACAUGUGGGAAAGAAUUUGUAAUUAAGAAUACUUUGAGGUUAGGGUAUAGCUGAGGUUGCAGAAUGCAUGCACAAAGCCCUGGGUUCAGUUCUCAGUACUGCAUAAAACUGAGAAUGAUGGCACACACCUAUAAUCCCAGUAUUGGGGAGGAGGGGAGAGGAGGAUCAGGGUUGGGGUCAGGCUUUGGGACAUAAGAGGUGCAGUUUCAAAGGAAUAAACUAGAUUAAAAACAAGAAAACCAAAAAGAAUAAUUUAUGGGAGGUUACAGACAGCAAGUUCAAGAACUUUUCUAUAGACUCCUAGAGGCAGAUACUUUUUUUCUAGUUUUGCCCUCCCCUUGAUAUGCCUUGAUCUUAAUUUAUCAAGUCUGUGUCUCUGGCCUUUGCCGCUGUGGCCCAUUGAUCUGUCCAUCUGUCUGUUACAGUGCAUAUUGGGUACUUCCAGAAGUUUGAAUUCAGUGAUGCAAAGGACAGGCGGGCUGCAGCAGCAAAGGUAGGACAGAAUCAUUAAAAAGACAAGUCAUUAAAGGAUCAUUAAGUGCAUACACACACGCUAGCAGAAAGUACUUCAUUAUUUAAAGGCCCAACAUUUAUUCUGUACAUCUUAAUGGGAAGUCUAUUCUAGGAAAGCAAAUUUAAACUUUGUCAAGAGCAUGGAUUUAUUCUGUGUUGGGGGUACAUCCAUAGCAUGUAUGUAUUUUGUAAGAUUACUGAGUUAAGCCCUUAUUUCAUUUAAACAGAGGGCUACCACUUGACACUUAAAGACUAAUUAAAAAGGUAUUUACUACCAUCUUUGCUAGAAAUAUUGAGUGAUUAAAGAUGAUUUAAUGGCGGAUAUUAGCAUGAACAGACUAAUUUUGGGCAGAUUAUAUAGGUUCCUAAUUUGGAAACAGGAGAAACAGGAAGGAUGGAUUGAUUUUGUUUGUGUUUAUGACAAAAUGAAUCUAUAUCUUGCAGGUUGUCCUUUGGUUAAUGUCUUUGAGACACUUUAAUGGGUUUUACUUAAAUAUUUGUAAUAACUGAUAUGCUAUCUGACAGUUGCAGUAGCAACUUCUGAUUGUUUCAGCUGCUGCUUUUUAAAUAUCAGAAUGAAAGAAAAAUAUCCUUUUUGUAGUGCCUUCCAAAGCCUAAGUUACUGAUAAGUAUUAGGAACUUAAGUUUUACCGAUGGCUAAGGAUGCAGUUCCAGUACAAGUUCCAGUACACCUUGAAUACAGUGUUGGAGAUGGUCCCCAGCACUCCAAAACACUUUUCCAAACAAAAACCAUAAACUACAUAGUAUAGAAAGUUUGCUUAUAUUGUUGUAGUUGGCUGUAAAGUAUGAAACUGUAGGGAUAGUUGAAUGAUGAUAUUUGUGGUACUUUUCUGUUUUGUUUCUGAAAGGAAAGGGAUUUGCUUUUUUUUCCCCCUACCCUGGAGAAAUUAAUACUGUUGCUUUUUAUGACUUCCCAGAAAACAAUGUGUAUUCAGUCUUCAGUGGAGAUUGUGUAGUUUUCCAAAUGACUGUAAGCUGAAAAUGUUAAAUGUCCUUGAUGUGAGGUUUAGUGCUAGAGGCUCCGUGGUGGUGGUAGUUAAUAUUGUAAUGAACUUAACUGAGGAGAUCUAGUGUGGAAUCAUUUUCAAGUGAAACUUUAUGGCAUACCAUAGAGUGCUUUGAAUUAACAGUUGCAAAAUAAAGUUUGGAUUUAAGAUAGUAUUAUUUUGCAUCUUUGUUAAUUUUUUUUUUUUGCUUUUAUAUUUUACACUUCAUUCUCUUCCAAUUGUAUUUUAGGUACUUCAUAGUAAAUCAUAAGCCUUUAUUUUUUAACAUCUUUAUUAUAUGGACAUUGAAAAAAAUCAUCAUGAAUAAAGGAUUUCUUGAAAAGCAUCAGACUUAAUAGCCCAAAGCAGAAUAAAUACAAAUAGUUUGUGAAUAUUAGAAGCCUAGGGUCUACUCCUGGCUCUACCACUGUUAAACAUAACAUUUGUUUGUCAUCUUUCCUUUCUUCAAAAAUGUGUACUAUGCAAGAAACCUAGAAAAGGGGAAAAAUAUGACAAUAGAAGGAUGGAUGGCCUGUAGGGAAGAAUAAGGACACUGUGUGGGAGAGGGAUGAGAGGCAACAUGGGGUAUAUAUGAUCCAAAUACAUCAUGUGAAUGUGUGAAGAUAGUACAAUGAAGUCCCUUACUUUGUACAUCUAAUUUACAUUAAUAUGAAUGAAUGUCGUCGACUGGUGAGAUACUUCAGUGGUAAAGACGUGAGGCACCGAGAUUGAUGACCACAAUUUGAUUCCUUAGGACUGAUACAGUGAAGGAGAAAACUGGUUUCUCAGAAGUUGUCCUUUGACAUGAGUGCUCUCUGUCCAUAAGUAAAUGUUUGUUAAAAAG
rnacentral:lncRNA from 1 species